GACGAACGCUGGCGGCGCGCUUAACACAUGCAAGUCGAGCGGUAAGGCACCUUCGGGUGUCCCCGAGCGGCGGACGGGGGCGUAACACGGGAGUAAUCUGCCCUUCACUUCGGGAUAACCACCGGAAACGGUGGCUAAUACCGCAUACGCCCAAUCUUCGCAUGAGGUGCUGGCGGAAAGUCUUUUCGGUUUAGGCUGUGCUCGGGGCCUAUCAGCGUGUUGGUGGGGUAAUGGCCUACCAAGGACUCGACGGGUAGCCGGGCUGAGAGGGGGACCGGCCACACUGGGACUGAGACACGUACGAGACGCCGACGGGGGGAAGCAGUGGGGAAGAUCGGAAGCUGGGCGAAAGCAUGAUCCGGCAGCGACGAGGGAGGGAUGACGGCAUUGGGGUUGUAAAGCUCAUGAAGUACCGAAGAAGAGCCCUGUCGGGUGGUGACGGUAGGUACAGAAGAAGGACCGGCCAACUACGUG
rnacentral:rRNA from 1 species